GGGGUCACUGAGAAUAUAAUGUUAGGUCAGCUUGCGCCUAUUGGGACAGGAGACUGUUCAUUGUAUCUCAAUGAUGAGAUGCUGAAAAAUGCCAUCGAACUUCAGCUUCCUAGUUAUAUGGAAGGUCUGGAGUUUGGCAUGACACCUGCUCGUUCUCCGGUGUCUGGGACUCCUUAUCAUGAUGGCAUGAUGUCUCCAGGUUACUUGUUUAGCCCAAAUCUCCGUCUGUCCCCGGUCACGGAUGCCCAGUUUUCUCCUUAUGUUGGUGGAAUGGCCUUCUCUCCUACUUCAUCACCCGGAUACAGCCCAUCAUCACCAGGCUACAGUCCGUCAUCUCCUGGAUACAGUCCCACGUCACCUGGAUACAGCCCAACUUCGCCUGGAUACAGUCCCACCUCGCCUGGAUAUAGCCCUACCUCACCAACUUAUAGUCCAAGUUCUCCUGGUUAUAGUCCAACCAGUCCUGCCUAUUCUCCUACCAGUCCAUCGUACUCACCUACUUCACCAAGCUAUAGCCCAACCUCCCCAAGUUACAGCCCAACAUCCCCAAGCUACAGCCCGACCUCUCCAAGUUACAGCCCCACUUCUCCCAGUUACAGUCCAACUUCACCAAGCUAUAGCCCCACCUCACCGGCAUAUAGCCCCACCUCACCUGCAUAUAGCCCCACCUCACCUGCAUACAGCCCCACUUCACCAUCGUACAGCCCAACCUCUCCUUCCUACAGCCCAACAUCACCUUCGUACAGCCCUACCUCACCGUCAUACAGCCCCACUUCUCCAUCGUACAGCCCCACUUCACCAGCCUAUAGCCCCACUUCUCCUGGUUAUAGUCCAACUUCACCAAGUUAUAGCCCAACUUCACCAACCUAUAGUCCUACAUCCCCAAGCUACAAUCCUCAGUCUGCCAAAUACAGUCCGUCGCUGGCCUACUCACCAAGUAGUCCAAGAUUAUCUCCUGCCAGUCCGUACAGCCCUACAUCUCCAAAUUACAGGUAAGCCAUAGUGCGAUAUGUGGUCAAGUCUAAUGUUUGUGUUAAAAGCUGUAUCCAAUUUAUUAGGUCUUGUUUUUGAUAGAAUUCUAUAUACUGAAAUAUCUGUUGAACCUAAGACUUGCUGUAGCUGGGGAUUGGACUUGGAUGGGUUUAAAUUAUUAAUGAUUUUAUCUCUGUUGUUUUUAACAUUAUUAUAUCUGGAUGAUUAUGUUGAUGUAUCUUGUAAGCAACUUUUCUUUUUACGCAGUCCAACAUCAUCUUCGUAUUCACCGACAUCUCCCUCUAUGAUACUGGACCAAUGAUGAGAUGUUCAUUUGAAGAAACGGUUGACAUUCUUCUUGAUGCUGCAGUCUUUGCAGAAUCAGAUUAUUUGAGGGGGGUCACUGAGAAUAUAAUGUUAGGUCAGCUUGCGCCUAUUGGGACAGGAGACUGUUCAUUGUAUCUCAAUGAUGAGAUGCUGAAAAAUGCCAUCGAACUUCAGCUUCCUAGUUAUAUGGAAGGUCUGGAGUUUGGCAUGACACCUGCUCGUUCUCCGGUGUCUGGGACUCCUUAUCAUGAUGGCAUGAUGUCUCCAGGUUACUUGUUUAGCCCAAAUCUCCGUCUGUCCCCGGUCACGGAUGCCCAGUUUUCUCCUUAUGUUGGUGGAAUGGCCUUCUCUCCUACUUCAUCA
rnacentral:lncRNA from 1 species